UACAGAGGUCCCAAGCGUUGUUCGGAUUCAUUGGGCGUAAAGGGUUCGUAGGCGGCGCGGUAAGUCGGGUGUGAAAUCUCGGAGCUUAACUCCGAAACUGCAUUCGAUACUGCCGUGCUUGAGGACUGGAGAGGAGACUGGAAUUUACGGUGUAGCGGUGAAAUGCGUAGAUAUCGUAAGGAAGACCAGUGGCGAAGGCGGGUCUCUGGACAGUUCCUGACGCUGAGGCACGAAGGCCAGGGGAGCAAACGGG
rnacentral:rRNA from 1 species